CGGGAAUGUGUUAGACGAAUGAUUUUGUUUUAUGGAGCUUUGAAGAGCGAUGAAUGGCACUAAAGUGGUGCCAAAUGGAUAUCUCAAACACCCAUUGUUGAUGUGUGCAUGAUGCUGAUAAUACAGAGACAGCUAGAGUGACAGAGUUUGAUGAAUAAACUUAAAUUAAAAAACAGAAAUAACCACCAUCUCUCUCAGAGGUCAUCUUUCUCAUUAUUGUGGGGAAACCUCAAAGGGCAUCAGGAAAACCUUCAUCAACCUCUUUGUGCCCAGUGGCUUGUGCAACAGUGUUUCAGAAAUUAUCAUUAAAAUGGGGAUAAUGGAUGACUGGUGGUGGUGUUAGUAGUUUAUACUCCGGGUCCCGGCGUAAGCACAUUGAAGGGUCCCAGAGUGACAGUUCAACUACCGCACACCUAUCCUGGGCAGAACCAGUACUAGAUGCCUUCACCUCUGCAAGGAACUGACAACUUCUGUACAUGCCAGGUGCAGUGGUACAGUGCGAAUGGUCGUAGAAAGGAUUUCAUAACCAAUCACAACAGAGGUGACCUGGUCCGCCCAGGAAUCGAACCCGGGUUGUCCAAUUCAGAGUCCAACGCUCUACCGAUUGAGCUGACCGGGCGGACAUAUUAGCUACAUUAGAUGACAAGCCAUCUAUGCUGGACAUUCUUCACAAUAAAAUGUGAUGUCACAGGAGCUGUCUAUCUCAACAGCUCACACUGUCCGUAUUUGACUAAAGGAAUGAAUGAAGUCACUGCAGAAGUUAGAUUGAGGAAUGUCCAUGUCACUACCCAUCAUUUGGAAGGAGUUGGAUAAAAAAAGUGUGGCCUAUGUAUUGAAACAGGUCCGAUUUCCAGUUACGGACAGUCUUGAUUUGUUUGAUUACAUUUUUGACCAACAUGAUGGUCUAAAAGAACACUUACUGGUAACUGGUAAAAUCAUGGCCCAGUUGUUCCAAGAGGCAGGCGAGUGGGAAGUUACUAGACUCCAUUUCUUUAUGGGUUGAUCUGAGGUUCCAGUUCAGUUAAAGUACUGAUGGAACACCAAGUGUUUGCCAUAAUACAGCAACAUUUGAUUUGUAACUAUGUAUUUGUUUGAAUUGUUGAAACAGUACUGUUUACUAAAUAAUGUGUAUGUAUAUGAAGAAUAAUAUUAUAAAUAAUUUGUAAGAACCUUUUGAUAUUAAGUAAAAUGUCGAUAAGUCUAAAUAUGUAUCUGCGAAUCAUUUUUGUAUAUCUGUAAAGAUUACAUUGCCUAUAUUCCUCAAUUUAUAUUUUUCUUUUAGCCAGUCAAUAACUUUUCUUAAGUUCUAUCUUCAAAAUUGUCGGGACAGGGAUUAUAGCCCUUAAUUAACCCAAAUAUGUAACAUUCAAUGCAAAAUUUCUAAUUGGCUGCAUUUAGGCAGUUUAGAUGCAGGAACAAACAUCACUUGGGUCUUUAAUAAUAGCUUUCCAUCUGACAUUGAAGAUCCAUUAAAAGGAAUUUGUCAUGUGACUGUUUAUUAACUCUCAAUUUAUUGAAAGUGAAAUUACUUACAUGAUUUGUAAGAACUAGAUUAUAAUGAUAUCAAAUGAUUGUUUAAAUUAAAUAAAAUAGAUGAUUACAUACAUGAACUAUUUUUAUUUCUUGUUUGUCAAUAUGAAGAGUAAUGCAAUGGCUUUUGAAUUUCAUAAAAAAGGAUGGAAAAAUGUAUGUUUAUUGUUUAAGCAAUUAAUUAAGUAAUAAAAGUGUGUUUUUUCUUCUUUUUUUUCAAAUUGUGCUAUCUUAUAAUACAGAUCGUUGUUUGUUUAAUUUUGGUACAGAUGAAGUAUAUAAGGUAUGUCUAAUUUACAAAUAGCAAAAAUUCAAAUGCAAAUCAUGGUGACUUGACUAAAUGUGAAUGCUAAUUGAAUCAAAAUAGUUUAUAAAUAAUAAGGUUCAUUUGAAACA